rnacentral:tRNA from 1 species
GCCCUCUUGGCUCAGUGGUAAAGCGCAUCACUAGUAAUGAUGAGAUCAGUGGUUCGAUUCCACUAGGGGGCA